AAGACUAUACUUUCAGGGAUCAUUUCUAUAGUUUCUAACUUGAGAAAUGUGUUACUAAAGGGAUUGGUCUUGCUAACCAUGAUGAAGAGUUGUGAUGUUCCAUUCUGAGCGUGAAGCAGACAGAGAAUAAUGAUUCAAUUCAUAUGUUUCCUGUUAUUGAUCAUCGCUCUGUGCUUCUUUGUGGAACACAGAGGAAAGGAAUAUGACCAGUGUGGU